AUUCUGAAGACGAGAGAAAGAGGAGCAGGAAGAAUCUUCCAUGAACUCUGCAAACCUACAAACUUUCCAAUGAGAAGUGGUGCACAUUCCCGAGAUGGUGCUUGGGACAGCAUGGUUAAAAGGAAUCAUGUCAACCCUGCCAUGGACUUCACGCAGACUCCACCUGGGAUGUUGGCUCUGGACAACAUGCUGUACUUUGCCAAGCACCACCAAGAUGCCUACAUCCGGAUUGUGCUUGAGAACAGUAGCCGAGAAGACAAGCAUGAAUGUCCCUUUGGCCGCAGUAGUAUAGAGCUGACCAAGAUGCUAUGUGAGAUCUUGAAAGUGGGCGAGUUGCCUAGUGAGACCUGCAAUGACUUCCACCCGAUGUUCUUCACCCACGACAGAUCCUUUGAGGAGUUUUUCUGCAUCUGUAUCCAGCUCCUGAACAAGACAUGGAAGGAAAUGAGGGCAACUUCUGAAGACUUCAACAAGGUAAUGCAGGUGGUGAAAGAGCAGGUUAUGAGAGCACUUACCACCAAGCCUAGCUCCCUGGACCAGUUCAAGAGCAAACUGCAGAACCUGAGCUAC
rnacentral:sRNA from 1 species